GCGGGUGUAGUUCAAUGGUAGAACAUCAGCUUCCCAAGCUGAGAACGCGGGUUCGAUUCCCGUCACCCGCU
rfam:Actinomyces sp. S4-C9 contig04, whole genome shotgun sequence.